UAACCUCCUGUGACAGGAUGGAGAUCGGUAUUAUCUUCCGCUACAGGAUAGUAACAAGUUCUAAUUUCUUGUCACAAGAUGGGACAGGGGUCGUCUCCUGUGUACUGAACUCCUGGCCCAUCAUACUCUGAAGGUGGCUGCCUGAGGAAGCAGGGCCCAGGUGCGGAGCCCCAGAGGACCUGGCCCAGGUGCUCCAGGAAGCCCUGCCAUCUGGGCUGUGUCUGGAUUCUGAGAGGGAAGCGGAGGAAAGCAAU
rnacentral:lncRNA from 1 species